AGUUUUAGGUCUGUUGUUCACAGAAUCACAGGCUUCAGGGCCCUGGUCGUGAGUAGGAGGAGGCCUGGGAGGCCGCCGCCUGCGGUGCAGGGUGUGUCUGAGGCUCCUGGAGCCCCAACAGACUGAGAUCGGGGUCCCCCUGCCUCCCGGACGCCUCUCUGCUCACAGCGUUCCCGCAGCCUGACCCCCCUGAACCCUCCAGCCUGGGGGCCGGCGCCGCUCAGGUCCUGCCGCCCAGGUCCCAGCGUCCAGAAUGCCAGGACAUGGCCUCUGCUAAUGUCCCCCACUGUCCUGUCAAAUGUGCUGUGGCUGCCAGAGAUGGGCUGCAUGGAGGGCGCUGAGCAAAGGACUCCACGAUCAUCCAUAACACCUGUUACCUCAAAAAGUACCGGAAGUGUCAGGGAGUCGGGCGUCUUGCAGCGAGCUUAAUGGGUCCCAGUUUGCACUUUCUCUUCAUGGGAGGCUGACAGUGUCCACAUGCAGGGCUUCAACUUCUGCCCUCUUCCUCUAGGUUGUUGGCAUAAAAUGGAUGAUGAGGUGGUCUGUUCUGAUCAGAGUGUAUCUAUACAAGGAGAGUCAUAGGACAGGGCUUCUAAGACAGGUCCAGCCACCCAGAAGACCCUUCUGUGUAAGUGGUGUUUCUCUUUGUUAAAAGAUAUUUUGCACCUGACUGGGUCACAUGCAGCAGACUUUGAGCAGAAAGCCUUUUGUAGUGAUGCAUGUGUUGGAGACUUCUGUUUGAGUGCAAACCCUCCCCAGCAACAGAGGAAUGAAUGUGGAGAGGAGCCCUGGACGCAAGCUAUGGACAGGGCAUCCUAUGUGAGCAGGUGCUGCUUCUACUUAUCGAUGGUGCCUUCAACCCGCAGGGAGGUUGGGGAAGAAUUGCAGUACAACUCAGAGCUUUCCCAGCACCAGGCCACUCUCAACACCGAAGAGCGACACUGUGGCAGGGAGAUUUCACAGGAAUUUCUUGAUGGAAAAAGUGAUCACCAGUGGGGUGACUGUGAAAAUGCUGCCAGCCACUUCCUGAAAGUUGUUCAAUGUCAGGGUGAAUUUUCUGGAGAAGUGAUUUAUGAGUGUAAGAAAUGUAGGCAAGUGUUUAAACGAUUCUUUAACCUCAUUGGACACAAGAGAGUUCACCCUGGAGAAGAGAUGUAUGAGUGUAAGUGAAUGUGGGAUUUCCUUUCGUCUAAGAGCUCACCUCACUGUACACCUCAGAGUUCACACUGGAGAGAAGCCAUAUGAGUGUACUGAAUGUGGGAAGUCCUUUAGUGAAAGAAGUGCAAUCAUUAAACACCAGACAAUUCACACUGGAGAGAAGCCAUAUGAGUGUACUGAAUGUGGGAAGCCUUUUAGCCAAAAAUCUUACCUUAUUAAACAUCUGUAAGUCCACACUUGAGAGAAGCCAUAUGUGUGUAGUGAAUGUGGGAAGUCCUUCAGUACAAGAAGUACACUCAUUAAUCACCAGAGAGGUCACACUGGAGAGAAGCCAUAUGAGUGUACUGAAUGUGGGAAGUCUUUUCGCCAAAAAUCUAGUCUUAUUAAACAUCUGAGAGUUCACAUUGGAGUGAAGUGUUAAAUGUGCAGGGAAUGUUUUAUUUUAUUUACUUAGAAUAAUAACACUGAAUGCGACUGUUUGGGACCUAUUUUUCUGAAUUUAAAUCCUUUUAAUGGAACUUGCACUGUACUGUAUUCCUUAUGUGUUUCCAGUACAACUGAGGCUUGAAGGACAUGCCCAGAUCUACUACCUGGUACAUUUGUGGCUGAAGAGAUUUUUUAUUGAAUUAUGAUUAUAUGAAUUGUUUUACUUUCUAAUUCACCAACCUGCAAAUUGCUUACUGUACUCUGUUCUUGUUUAUUAUUUUUUAUUAAAGGUAUUUUUCUUUAGUA